rnacentral:rRNA from 1 species
AACGAACGCUGGCGGCAUGCCUAACACAUGCAAGUCGAACGAAACCUUCGGGUCUAUGGGCUCACGGGUUCGUAACGCGUGGGAACCUUCCCUUAGGUUCGGAAUAACUCCCCGAAAGGGGUGCUAAUACCGGAUAAUGUCUUCUGACCAAAGAUUUAUCGCCUUUGGAUGGUCCCACGUUGGAUUAGCUAGUUGUUAGGGUAAAAGCAUACCAAGGCGACGAUCCAUAGCUGGUCUGAGAGGCUGAUCAGCCACACUGGGACUGAGACACGGCCCAGACUCCUACGGGAGGCAGCAGUGGGGAAUAGUGGACAAUGGGGGAAAGCAUGAUCCAGCAAUGCGGGGAGAGUGAUGAAGGCAUUAGGGUUGUAAAGCUUUUUUACCCGGGAUGAUAAUGACAGUACCGGGAGAAUAAGCUCCGGCUAACUCCGUG